CUUUGCUCCCCACACACCGAGAGCUACAGGAGCCCCAGUAAUGCCCCCCUGUGUGGCCUGCGGAGCGAACGGCGCACCAUGUCUCUGGUGGUCCACUACACCCCUUGAGAACCUCCUUUACUGGGCUGGGGGAACCACACUCUUGAGCCAUCUAGGGAACUUUGCCUUGGAUUCUACAAGGCAGAGGCGAGCCGAAGUUCGGAGUCGAAGUCUACGCCCCAUCGUCGGUGAUUGGUCAACAGAAGGGAUUCUUCAAUAAAGUCUUUGUCAUUCAACGAUA